rnacentral:rRNA from 1 species
CCUACGGGCGGCAGCAGUGGGGAAUAUUGCACAAUGGGGGAAACCCUGAUGCAGCGACGCCGCGUGGGUGAAGGAGUAUUUCGGUAUGUAAAGCCCUAUCAGCAAGGGAGUACACUGACGGUACCUUACUAAGUAGCACCGGCUAAAUACGUGCCAGCAGCCGCGGUAAUACGGAGGGUGCAAGCGUUAUCCGGAUUUACUGGGUGUAAAGGGAGCGCAUGCGGGGCGUUGAGCCUGUUGUGAAAGCCGGCGGCUCAACCGCGGGACUGCAUUGGAAACUGGCGGGCUGGAGUGCCGGUGGGGUAGGCGGAAUUCGUAGUGUAGCGGUGAAAUGCGUAGAUAUUAGGAGGAACACCAGUGGCGAAGGCGGCCUACUGGACGGUGACUGACGCUGAGGCUCGAAAGUGUGGGGAGCAAACAGGAUUAGAUACCCGUGUAGUC